rnacentral:misc_RNA from 1 species
UUACAAUACACCAAAUAAAACUCCAAUUCAUAAAGUCCAAAUAAAACAAUACAUACACAUGGACAUUUCUAAUUCUUACACAUACUUUACACAACCAAUUUACAUACAUAUUCAUCAAUCCUCAAUAUCACAAUUUAUCCAAUAUCUUCAUGAAUUCAAACAUUCAUCAAGGAGUCCCAAGGCUGCCGAAAUGCUCCACAAUGCCAAAGUGUCCAUAAUUUCAUCAACUUCCAUUUCAAGUGCACAAUCAUCAUAUACAUGUGGAAUUAACUUACUAGGACAUUAAAUCACCCUACUCAACAUGAACUCCCAUCAAAUAUAUGUAUGAGUAAACCAUCAAAUAUACAACUUCAUGGCUGUCCAAAAUUAGAUAUAUCAAUAACUCCUCAAACUUGAAAAUUUUCUUCACAAAUCAAACACCCAUAACAUGUAUACAAAGUUUAACAAAGCAAUAUUCAAAAAUACAAACUUACCUAUGGUUGGGACUUGCUAAAUCUUCACU